rnacentral:rRNA from 1 species
GGUAUGGGAUGGGGUCGCGUCCUAUCAGCUUGAUGGCGGGGUAACGGCCCACCAUGGCUUCGACGGGUAGCCGGCCUGAGAGGGCGACCGGCCACAUUGGGACUGAGAUACGGCCCAGACUCCUACGGGAGGCAGCAGUGGGGAAUAUUGCACAAUGGGCGCAAGCCUGAUGCAGCGACGCCGCGUGCGGGAUGACGGCCUUCGGGUUGUAAACCGCUUUUGACUGGGAGCAAGCCCUUCGGGGUGAGUGUACCUUUCGAAUAAGCACCGGCUAACUACGUGCCAGCAGCCGCGGUAAUACGUAGGGUGCAAGCGUUAUCCGGAAUUAUUGGGCGUAAAGGGCUCGUAGGCGGUUCGUCGCGUCCGGUGUGAAAGUCCAUCGCUUAACGGUGGAUCCGCGCCGGGUACGGGCGGGCUUGAGUGCGGUAGGGGAGACUGGAAUUCCCGGUGUAACGGUGGAAUGUGU